UGUUAAUAACAUGUAAUACUGGGGAAAGGUAAUGCUGUAUACUUCACUGUGUUAGGCAUCUCUCUACUCAACAUUAGGUUAUACCUUCAUCCCUCUAUGUUCACAGUUGAAGGGAUGAGAGAUGGAGGGAGGGGUAGAGGAGGGGUGGAGGGAGGGAUGGAGGAGGGAUGAAGGAGGGAUGGAGGGAGGGGUAGAGGAGGGAUGAAGGAGGGAUGGAGGGAUGGAAGGAGGGGUAGAGGAGGGGUGGAGGGAGGGAUGGAGGGGGAUGAAGGGAGGAUGAAGGAGGGAUGAAGGAGGGAUGGAGGGAUGGAAGGAGGGAGGGAGUAGGGAUAGAGGAGGGAUGGAUGGAGGGAGGGAAGGAGGGAGGGAUAGAGGAGGGAUGAAGGGGGAUGGAGGGAGGAGGGGUGAGGACGAAGGAGGGGUGAGGAGGCGAGAGGAAGAGAAGGGAGGAAGCAUCUUCAGACUAUUGAGAUUCAGCCGGCCUGAAUUCCCUCCAUUAUUCAAACAAUUCAGUUAGUGCUCUUGACAGAUAGCAUUUAGCCAACUGUUAGCUCUAGACAGACAGCUAGCUAACCGUUAGCUCUAAACAGACAACAGACAGCUAGCUAACCGUUAGCUCUUGACAGAUAGCAUUUAGCUAACCGUUAGCUCUAGACAGAUAGCAUUUAGCUAACCGUUAGCUCUAGACAGACAGCUAGCUAACCGUUAGCUCUAGACAGACAGCUAGCUAACCGUUAGCUCUAGACAGACAUUUAGCUAACCGUUAGCUCUAGACAGACAGCUAGCUAACCGUUAGCAUUUAGCUAACCGUUAGCUCUAGACAGAUAGCAUUUAGCUAACCGUUAGCGCUAGACAGAUAGCAUUUAGCUAACCGUUAGCUUAGCGCUCCAGACUACCUAGAAUAUAAAAUAGCAUUUCUCAGACGUAUAGAAAACAUAGUGUAUCUAUAGCAACAUCAUCAAUAGAAAAACCUGCAUGGUUAGUUCCUUCAUGUUAAUAACAUGUAAUACUGGGGAAAGGUAAUGCUGUAUACUUCACUGUGUUAGGCAUCUCUCUACUCAACAUUAGGUUAUACCUUCAUCCCUCUAUGUUCACAGUUGAAGGGAUGAGAGAUGGAGGGAGGGGUAGAGGAGGGGUGGAGGGAGGGAUGGAGGAGGGAUGAAGGGAGGAUGAAGGAGGGAUGAAGGAGGGAUGGAGGGAGGGGUAGAGGAGGGAUGAGGAGGCGAGAGGAAGAGAAGGGAGGAAGCAUCUUCAGACUAUUGAGAUUCAGCCGGCCUGAAUUCCCUCCAUUAUUCAAACAAUUCAGUUAGCGCUCUUGACAGAUAGCAUUUAGCCAACUGUUAGCUCUAGACAGACAGUUAGCUAACCGUUAUCUCUAGACAAUUAGCUAGCUAACCGUUAGCUCUAGACAGACAGCUAGCUAACCGUUAGCUCUAGACAGACAGCUAGCUAACCGUUAGCGCUUGACAGAGUUAGCCAACCGUUAGCGCUUGACAGAGUUAGCCAACCGUUAGCGCUUGACAGAUAGCAUUUAGCUAACCGUUAGCUCUAGACGGACAGCUAGCUAACCGUUAGCUCUAGACAGACAGCUAGCUAACCGUUAGCUCUAGACAGACAGCUAGCUAACCGUUAGCUCUAGACAGAUAGCAUUUAGCUAACCGUUAGCUCUAGACAGAUAGCAUUUAGCUAACCGUUAGCUCUAGACAGAUAGCAUUUAGCUAACCGUUAGCUUAGCGCUCCAGACUACCUAGAAUAUAAAAUAGCAUUUCUCAGACGUAUAGAAAACAUAGUGUAUCUAUAGCAACAUCAUCAAUAGAAAAACCUGCAUGGUUAGUUCCUUCAUGUUAAUAACAUGUAAUACUGGGGAAAGGUAAUGCUGUAUACUUCACUGUGUUAGGCAUCUCUCUACUCAACAUUAGGUUAUACCUUCAUCCCUCUAUGUUCAC
rnacentral:lncRNA from 1 species